rnacentral:rRNA from 1 species
AGAAAGUCAAGUAAGAGCGUACGGGGGAUGCCUAGGCUCUCAGAGGCGAGGAAGGACGUGACAAGCUGCGAUAAGCUUCGGGUAGGUGCAAAUGACCUUUGAUCCGAAGAUUUCCGAAUGGGGGAACCCAAUACCUUGAAGAGGUAUUACCAUAGAUAUGGGGCGAACGCGGGGAACUGAAACAUCUAAGUACCCGCAGGAAGAGAAAACAACAGUGAUUCCGCAAGUAGCGGCGAGCGAACGCGGAGGAGCCCAAACCGGUUGUGUUACGGCAUAUCCGGGGUUGUAGGACAGCGACAUCGACAGCGACUUGUUAGAAGAACGGUCUGGAAAGGCCGGCCGCAGAGCGUGAAAGCCGUGUAUUUGAAAGCGAGUUGCGCCGUAGCUGUAUCCUGAGUAGUGCGGGGCCGGAGGAACCCUGUCUGAAUCUGGCGGCACCAUCCGCCAAGGCUAAACACUCCUGAGAGACCGAUAGUGGACCAGUACCGUGAGGGCAAGGUGAAAAGAACCGCUGACAGCGGAGUGCAAUAGAACCUGAAACCGUGCGCUUACAAGCGGUCGGAGCAGCUUUGUGCUGUGACGGCGUGCCUUUUGCAUAAUGAGCCUACGAGUUGCGUCUCGCUGGCGAGGCUAAGACAUUGAAUGUCGUACCCGAAGCGAAAGCGAGUCUGAACAGGGCGUUCAGUCAGCGGGAGCAGACGCGAAACUUUGUGAUCUACCCUUGAGCAGGUUGAAGUUGCCGUAACAGGUGAUGGAGGACCGAACCAAUAGCCGUUGAAAAGGCUCUGGAUGACUUGAGGGUAGGGGUGAAAGGCUAAUCAAACUGAGAGAUAGCUCGUACUCCCCGAAAUGCCUUUAGGGGCAGCCUGGUGUUAGAUUUCAAGAGGUAAAGCUACUGAUAGGAUGCGGGGGCUUCGCCGCCUACCAAUUCCUGACAAACUCAGAAUGCUUGAAAUUGAUGCACCGGAGAGAGGCGACGGGUGCUAAUAUCCGUUGCCGAGAGGGCAAUAACCCAGACCUGCGGCUAAGGUCCCGGAAUUGACGCUAAGUUAGUAAAACGUGGUUGCACUGCAUUGACAGCUAGGAUGUUGGCUUGGAAGCAGCCAUACAUUUAAAGAGUGCGUAACAGCUCACUAGUCGAGCGGUGCUGCAUGGAUGAUGAACGGGUAUAAGCGUCAUACCGAAGCCCAGGAAUAC